rnacentral:rRNA from 1 species
AACGAACGCUGGCGGCAUGCCUAACACAUGCAAGUCGAACGAGACCUUCGGGUCUAGUGGCGCACGGGUGCGUAACGCGUGGGAAUCUGCCCUUGGGUUCGGAAUAACUCAGAGAAAUUUGAGCUAAUACCGGAUGAUGACGUAAGUCCAAAGAUUUAUCGCCCAAGGAUGAGCCCGCGUAAGAUUAGCUUGUUGGUGAGGUAAAAGCUCACCAAGGCGACGAUCUUUAGCUGGUCUGAGAGGAUGAUCAGCCACACUGGGACUGAGACACGGCCCAGACUCCUAGGGGAGGCAGCAGUGGGGAAUAUUGGAAAAUGGGCGAAAGCCUGAUCCAGCAAUGCCGCGUGAGUGAUGAAGGCCUUAGGGUUGUAAAGCUCUUUUCCCCGGGAUGAUAAUGACAGUACCGGGAGAAUAAGCCCCGGCUAACUCCGUGCCAGCCGCCGCAGUAA